rnacentral:snoRNA from 1 species
ACCCUCUCAGGAUCGCACCUGGAGUGUUUCCAGUCUUCUACCAGUCUCGACUAUGGGAGGGAGAGUCAGGUAGAGGCCUGUCCAUUCCAUUCCUAGCUUGGCCAGUGGCUAGCGAGCGGAAGGCCAUCUGCUACAGGU